UACGGAGGGUGCAAGCGUUGUCCGGAAUUAUUGGGCGUAAAGCGCACGUAGGCGGCUUAGCAAGUCGGAAGUGAAAUCCCUCGGCUCAACCAAGGAAGUGCUUUCGAAACUGCUGAGCUUGAAUACUUAAGAGGAUCGCGGAAUUCCCGGUGUAGAGGUGAAAUUCGUAGAUAUCGGGAGGAACACCAGUGGCGAAGGCGGCGAUCUGGGAAGAUAUUGACGCUGAGGUGCGAAAGCGUGGGGAGCAAACAGG
rnacentral:rRNA from 1 species